UGGCCCUGCCAGUGAUUGGUAUGAUGCAUUGUGCAUUCUACUCCGUCACAGCAAGAAUGUACGUUUUUGGUUUGCUCAUAAUGUGCUUUUCAGUGUUUCAAAUCGUUUCUCUGAAUACCUUCUGGAGUGCCCUAGGGCUGAAGUGAGGGGUGUAUUUGCAAAACUUAUAGUAUUUGUUGCACAUUUUUCUUUGCAAGAUGGGCCUUGUCCUUCAUCUUUCACAUCUCCAGGACCUUCUAGUCAGGCAUGUGACAAUUUAAGUUUGAGUGAUCAUCUACUAAGAGCAGUGUUAAAUCUCCUGAGAAGGGAAGUGUCUGAACAUGGUCGUCAUUUACAGCAAUAUUUCAAUCUGUUUGUCAUGUAUGCCAAUUUAGG